rnacentral:tRNA from 1 species
GGGCGGCUAGCUCAGCUGGGAGAGCAUCGGACACUUGCGUUUGAACCCCUCCAAGUAGCGCGCGUAUAGGGAGGGGUGAUGUAAGGAAGCCGAGGGUCGUGGGUUCAAAUCCCAUGUCGCCCA